rnacentral:rRNA from 1 species
UAGUCUGACCUGCCCACUGAAUAUUUUAAAUGGCCGCGGUAUUUAGACCGUGCUAAGGUAGCAUAAUCAAUAGUCUUUUAAUUGGGGACUAGAAUGAACGGUUGGAUGAGGUACAAGCUGUCUGGCAAUUGUAAUUUUGAAUUUUACUAUUAAGUGAAAAGGCUUAAAUUAUUUAGCGGGACGAUAAGACCCUAUAAAGCUUUUAUUUGGCUUAUUAUUUUAACUAUGAUAUUUUUGUGCUUAUGUUAAGAUUGGGGUCAAAUUGGGUUGGGGCGACUGGGAUAUAAAAGGUAACUGUCUUAUGAUUAAAAUAAUGGUUUUUAGGUAUUUGAUCCUGUAGUACGGGUUAAAAGAUUAAAGUUACUUUAGGGAUAACAGCGUAAUUCUUUUUGAGAGUUCCUAUCGACAAAAGUGUUUGCGACCUCGAUGUUGAAUUAAAGUUUCGUCAAGGUGUAGCAGCUUUGAUUGUAGGUCUGUUCGACCUUUAAAGCUUU